rnacentral:rRNA from 1 species
GACGAACGCUGGCGGCGUGCUUAACACAUGCAAGUCGAACGGAAAGGCCCUGCUUUUGUGGGGUGCUCGAGUGGCGAACGGGUGAGUAACACGUGAGUAACCUGCCCUUGACUUUGGGAUAACUUCAGGAAACUGGGGCUAAUACCGGAUAGGAGCUCCUGCUGCAUGGUGUGGGUUGGAAAGUUUCGGCGGUUGGGGAUGGACUCGCGGCUUAUCAGCUUGUUGGUGGGGUAGUGGCUUACCAAGGGUUUGACGGGUAGCCGGCCUGAGAGGGUGACCGGCCACAUUGGGACUGAGAUACGGCCCAGAAUCCUACGGGAGGCAGCAGUGGGGAAUAUUGCACAAUGGGCGGAAGCCUGAUGCAGCAACGCCGCGUGCGGGAUGACGGCCUUCGGGUUGUAAACCGCUUUCGCCUGUGACGAAGCGUGAGUGACGGUAAUGAGUAAAGAAGCACCGGCUAACUACGUG